GGCUUGUUGAUAAUAAUUUCAGGUCUGGCCUGCCCAAUGAAGGUUUUAAUGGCCGCAGUAUUUUGACUGUGCAAAGGUAGCAUAAUCAUUAGUUUUUUAAUUGAAAGCUGGAAUGAAAGGUUUGAUGAGAAAGUUUCUGUCUCUGGAAAAAUUAAUUAGAAUUUUAUUUUUAAGUUAAAAAGCUUAAAUGUUCAUGGAAGACGAGAAGACCCUAUAGAGUUUUAUAUUUAUAAAAGAUUGUAUAUUUAGGGUGGAAAGUUUUAUAAAAAUUUAUAAAUAUUUUGUUGGGGUGAUAGAAAAAUUAGAUCAACUUUUUUAUUAAUGUAACAUUUAUGUAUGAGUAAAUGAUCCUAAGUUUUAGAUUAUAAGAUUAAAUUACCUUAGGGAUAACAGCGUAAUUUUUUUAAGAGUUCUUAUCGGAAAAAAAGAUUGCGACCUCGAUGUUGGAUUAAAAUUUAUAUUUGGUGUAGAAGCUAAUAUAUUAGGUCUGUUCGACCUUUAAAAUUUUACAUGAUCUGAGUUUAAACCGGCGUGAG
rnacentral:rRNA from 1 species